CCCUUAGACGUUCUGGGCCGCACGCGCGCUACACUGACCAGUGCAACAAGCAUCCGUCCUUGGCCGACAGGCUCGGGCAAUCUUUGAACGCUGUCGUGAUGGGGAUAGACUUUUGCAAUUUUUCGUCUUCAACGAGGAAUUCCUAGUAAACGCAAGUCAUCAACUUGCAUUGAUUACGUCCCUGCCCUUUGUACACACCGCCCGUCGCACCUACCGAUUGAAUGGUCCGGUGAAGCCUCCGGAUUGGCGCGCACCUCGGUGCCGCCGAGAAGUUGGCUAAACCUUACCAUUUAGAGGAAGGUGAAGUCGUAACA
rnacentral:rRNA from 1 species